GAAGGUGGCAAGCGUUGUUCGGAAUCACUGGGCUUAAAGCGCGCGUAGGCGAAGUUCAAGUGUCCUGUGAAAUCCCCCGGCUCAACCGGGGAACUGCGGGGCAAACUGGAUUUCUUGAGGCAAGUAGGGGUACAUGGAACUCUUAGUGGAGCGGUGGAAUGCGUAGAUAUUAAGAGGAACGCCAAUGGUGAAGACAGUGUACUGGGCUUGUCCUGACGCUGAGGUGCGAAAGCGUGGGGAGCGAACGGGAUUAGAUACCCCGGUAGUCCACGCCGUAAACGAUGUCUACUAGGUUGUGGAGGUUCUGACACCCUCACAGUCGAAGCAAAAGUGUUAAGUAGACCGCCUGGGGAGUACGGUCGCAAGGCUA
rnacentral:rRNA from 1 species